rnacentral:misc_RNA from 1 species
GAUGAAGAACGUAGCGAAAUGCGAUAAGUAGUGUGAAUUGCAGAAUUCAGUGAAUCAUCGAAUCUUUGAACGCACAUUGCGCCCCUUGGUAUUCCAUGGGGCAUGCCUGUUCGAGCGUCAUUUGUACCUUCAAGCUUUGCUUGGUGUUGGGUGUUUGUCCUGAGGGACUCGCCUUAAAGUAAUUGGCAGCCAGUGUUUGGUUUUGAAGCGCAGCACAGGUCGCGAUUCAAAGCUAUACGCCCGCUUCCACAAGCCUUUUUCACUUUUGACCUCGGAUCAGGUAGGGAUACCCGCUGAACUUAAGCAUAUCAAUAAGCGGAGGA